rfam:Dufourea novaeangliae contig2680, whole genome shotgun sequence.
AAAACGGCCCUUUUCAGGGCCAACAAUACUAUAACGAAGAGACUAU